ACCAGAUCUGAGCCUGGGAGCUCUCUGGCUAACUAGGGAACCCAC
rnacentral:other from 1 species